rnacentral:rRNA from 1 species
AGAGUUUGAUCCUGGCUCAGGACGAACGCUGGCGGCGUGCCUAACACAUGCAAGUCGAGCGAGGAAGAGGGGAUAGCUUGCUAACUCCUGUUUCUAGCGGCGGACGGGUGAGUAACGCGUGAGCAACCUGCCUUUAUCAGGGGGAUAACGCAUCGAAAGAUGUGCUAAUACCGCGUAAGACCACAGCCUCACAUGGGGCAGGGGUCAAAGGAGCAAUCCGGAUAAAGAUGGGCUCGCGUCCGAUUAGCUAGUUGGUGAGAUAACAGCCCACCAAGGCGACGAUCAGUAGCCGACCUGAGAGGGUGAUCGGCCACAUUGGAACUGAGACACGGUCCAGACUCCUACGGGAGGCAGCAGUGGGGAAUAUUGGGCAAUGGGCGAAAGCCUGACCCAGCAACGCCGCGUGAGGGAAGAAGGGUUUCGGCUCGUAAACCUCUGUCCUAUGGGACGAAGGAAGUGACGGUACCAUAGGAGGAAGCCCCGGCUAACUACGUGCCAGCAGCCGCGGUAAUACGUAGGGGGCGAGCGUUGUCCGGAAUGAUUGGGCGUAAAGGGCGCGUAGGCGGCCUGCUAAGUCUGGAGUGAAAGUCCUGCUUUCAAGGUGGGAAGUGCUUUGGAUACUGGUGGGCUGGAGUGCAGGAGAGGAAAGCGGAAUUACCGGUGUAGCGGUGAAAUGCGUAGAGAUCGGGAGGAACACCAGUGGCGAAGGCGGCUUUCUGGACUGAAACUGACGCUGAGGCGCGAAAGCGUGGGGAGCAAACAGGAUUAGAUACCCUGGUAGUCCACGCGGUAAACGAUGAAUGCUAGGUGUAGGAGGUAUCGACCCCUUCUGUGCCGCAGUAAACACAAUAAGCAUUCCGCCUGGGGAGUACGGCCGCAAGGUUGAAACUCAAAGGAAUUGACGGGGGCCCGCACAAGCAGCGGAGCAUGUGGUUUAAUUCGAAGCAACGCGAAGAACCUUACCAGGUCUUGACAUCCGUGUAAAGCCGCAGAGAUGCGGUGUGAGCUUGCUCAAUACGAGACAGGUGGUGCAUGGUUGUCGUCAGCUCGUGUCGUGAGAUGUUGGGUUAAGUCCCGCAACGAGCGCAACCCUU